UAGACUUGAUCUAAAUAUCUGACAAAAUAAUACUAUACUAUGGCUACUGCAACUGAAAGUGGUACUUCAAUUCCGAUUGUUACAACGACUCCAGUCCUUAUCUAGAACCAUGUUCAAGUUCUAAUAAAUCAUAGAGAAUUUAACCUGAAGGUCAUGGAAUUAAUUUUAAUGUAUCAGCAAUAAGCACCAUGACAAGUACAGCAAACUUCUGGUUGCCCUUGUACUACCAUCCAGAUCUCUGUUAAGAGAAAUUCUGAAGUCUAUUUGAUGACUCAGAAUAAGUGAAGGCUGGAGAAAUUUGAAUUCAAAUGCUAGAAAAAUUCUGAUCCUUACGCAGUUUUGAGGUUUAAAAUUGGUUUCUCAAACUAUGUGUUUAAACUACAUUUGUUAGGCAAUCUGAUAACUCAACCUUAGAUUCCUUCUAGUUUUCUGCAAAAGUUUCAAAUUUGGUGUCAGAUAUUAUACAAAGAAUAUAUAGUGCAUUAAAGGCAUGGAGUGUAUCAAUUGGUUCCAGAUUAUGCUGCAGUAGUAAAAUAUAUUAUGUUUUGAUUCCAUGUUCUAAUAAAUUUUUGUUCCAAUUUUUCUAUGAUACUACAAUUAUGGUGGAAUCCAAGCUAGAAUCAAUAAUGAAACAUUAGAAGGUAUUUCUGAACUAGAAAACGGAAUUGUGCAUGAUGAAUCUCAAGUGGAUAUUGUUUCAAGCUGGAAUAUUCUGAAAACUUACCUAAGGCAACUUAGGUAGUCACCCAACUAUUUUUUUUUUCUAUGUUACUAGUACCUUUAAGAUAUAAGUGAUAUUGAAACAUCACUUUAUGAAAUUUAAUAUGACAUAGUUAAAUUGAAUCAUUUAAUCACAAGCUUCAUCUGCUACUAUGUAUUAUUUUAUAUGAUCUUCUUUCUUCAUAUUCUGACUGAUAUCACUGUCUUUUGGGCUGUUAUACAGAAUCACUUCAUCUUGAUUGUCUCUGAAUUUAUGUAUAUUCAUGGAAAUAUGCACGAGAACAAACUGCAAUUAAAGCAUCUUUGAGGGAUGCAACUUAUGCACUCCAUCAAUAACUGCUGCAGCUGUAGAAACUUUCGAGUCACACAGGACAGAAUAUCUAACGAAGAGAGUAUGAAAUAGGAUUUAGUUGCCAAGGCUUGUAUAAGUUCUUGAUUCCUCCUGUUGCUUAUAUUCUGUUCAUGUAAAUUGUAUUUUGCAGAUCAAUUCUUUCUUUGCAAAUAAACUUCUAAGGAUUGUUUGUGA